GACGAACGCUGGCGGCGUGCCUAAUACAUGCAAGUAGGACGCAAUUGCGAACGGGUGAGUAACGCGUAGGUAACUCCCUAUUAGUGGGGGCUAACUAUUGGAAAUGAUAGCUAAUACCGCAUACUAGUAGAUGGACCUGCGUUGUAUUAGCUAGUAGGUAGGGUAAUGGCCUACCUAGGCAACGAUACAUAGCCGGCCUGGGAGGGUGAUCGGGCACACUUGGACUGGGACACUGCCCAGACUCCCACGGGAGGCAGCAAUAGGGGAACUUCGGCAAUUGGGGGAACCCUGACCGAGCAACGCCGCGUGAGUGAAGAAGGUUUUCGGAUCGUAAAGCUCUGUUGUUAAGGAAGCGGUACUUAACCAGAAAGUUACGGCUAACUACGUGCCAGCAGCCGCGGUAAUAC
rnacentral:rRNA from 1 species